UCUCAACUUCACCAAGCCAGAUCUAGUUGCGUUAUCGAAUUCUCAAACUCUGCAUGCCCCCGGAAAACAUAUCAAUUAGCCUCGCCUGUUUAACAAAAACAUCGCCUCUUGAACCCUUAAAAAUAAGAGGUCCCGCCUGCCCUGUGACUUAAAGUUUAACGGCCGCGGUAUUCUAACCGUGCAAAGGUAGCGCAAUCACUUGUCUUUUAAAUGAAGACCUGUAUGAAUGGCACAACGAGGGCUAAACUGUCUCCUUCUCCUAGUCAAUGAAAUUGAUCUCCCCGUGCAGAAGCGGGGAUAAAUACAUAAGACGAGAAGACCCUAUGGAGCUUAAAACGAAAGAGUAGACCAUGUUGAAACCCUUUAAUCAACAGGUAUAAACUAAAUGGCCCGCUACUCUAGUGUUUUCGGUUGGGGCGACCACGGAGUAUAACAAAACCCCCGUGAGGAAAAAAUGAACAACAUUUUAAGCUAAGAGUGACAACUCUAAGCAACAGAAAUUCUGACCCUGCAGAUCCGGCCAAGCCGAUCAACGGACCGAGUUACCCUAGGGAUAACAGCGCAAUCCCCUUCUAGAGCCCACAUCGACAAGGGGGUUUACGACCUCGAUGUUGGAUCAGGACAUCCUAAUGGUGCAGCCGCUAUUAAGGGUCGUUGUCAACGAUAACUCCCCGGGGU
rnacentral:rRNA from 1 species